GACGAACCGUCCGAACGUUAUUCGGAAUCACUGGGCUUAAAGGGUGCGUAGGCGGCGCGGAAAGUUGGGUGUGAAAUCCCUCGGCUCAACCGAGGAACUGCGCCCAAAACUACCGUGCUCGAGGAAGAUAGAGGUGAGCGGAACUUAGGGUGGAGCGGUGAAAUGCGUUGAUAUCCUAAGGAACACCGGUGGCGAAAGCGGCUCACUGGAUCUUUUCUGACGCUGAGGCACGAAAGCGUGGGGAGCGAACAGG
rnacentral:rRNA from 1 species